GGAGGUGAGGGCAAUAUGGCUGUGACAUCUCACCCCAUUCAUCAUCAGGGUUCAUGCAGCUGAUCUGGCUGGCUAUUCCCUUCCUCCCUCAUGGCUCCAUGUGUGUCCCUCCUGAAGCUGCUCGAAUUCUGUCAAAGAGGAUGACCUUCUCCCAAUAGAGAAGGACAGAUCUUUGGUCAAGAGUAUACUAGCAGCUGCACUCCUCUGCUAAAACCUCCAAAAAGCUCUCAAGAUACAGAAUAGUUCUAUUGUUCAAAAAAUGUCUCUCUCGUACUACCGUUUUAUAGUCAACACCUCCCUCCAUCCCAGUUCCUGGUAGUCAUU
rfam:Canis lupus familiaris chromosome 15, whole genome shotgun sequence.